ACAGGCUUAACACAUGCAAGUCGAGGGGCAUCAGGAAGAAAGCUUGCUUUCUUUGCUGGCGACCGGCGCACGGGUGAGUAACACGUAUCCAACCUGCCCUUUACUCGGGGAUAGCCUUUCGAAAGAAAGAUUAAUACCCGAUGGCAUAAUGAUUCCGCAUGGUUUCAUUAUUAAAGGAUUCCGGUAAAGGAUGGGGAUGCGUUCCAUUAGGUUGUUGGUGAGGUAACGGCUCACCAAGCCUUCGAUGGAUAGGGGUUCUGAGAGGAAGGUCCCCCACAUUGGAACUGAGACACGGUCCAAACUCCUACGGGAGGCAGCAGUGAGGAAUAUUGGUCAAUGGGCGCUAGCCUGAACCAGCCAAGUAGCGUGAAGGAUGAAGGCUCUAUGGGUCGUAAACUUCUUUUAUAUAAGAAUAAAGUGCAGUAUGUAUACUGUUUUGUAUGUAUUAUAUGAAUAAGGAUCGGCUAACUCCGUGCCAGCAGCCGCGGUAAUACGGAGGAUCCGAGCGUUAUCCGGAUUUAUUGGGUUUAAAGGGAGCGUAGGUGGACUGGUAAGUCAGUUGUGAAAGUUUGCGGCUCAACCGUAAAAUUGCAGUUGAUACUGUCAGUCUUGAGUACAGUAGAGGUGGGCGGAAUUCGUGGUGUAGCGGUGAAAUGCUUAGAUAUCACGAAGAACUCCGAUUGCGAAGGCAGCUCACUGGACUGCAACUGACACUGAUGCUCGAAAGUGUGGGUAUCAAACAGGAUUAGAUACCCUGGUAGUCCACACAGUAAACGAUGAAUACUCGCUGUUUGCGAUAUACAGUAAGCGGCCAAGCGAAAGCAUUAAGUAUUCCACCUGGGGAGUACGCCGGCAACGGUGAAACUCAAAGGAAUUGACGGGGGCCCGCACAAGCGGAGGAACAUGUGGUUUAAUUCGAUGAUACGCGAGGAACCUUACCCGGGCUUAAAUUGCAGUGGAAUGAUGUGGAAACAUGUCAGUGAGCAAUCACCGCUGUGAAGGUGUUGCAUGGUUGUCGUCAGCUCGUGCCGUGAGGUGUCGGCUUAAGUGCCAUAACGAGCGCAACCCUUAUCUUUAGUUACUAACAGGUUAUGCUGAGGACUCUAGAGAGACUGCCGUCGUAAGAUGUGAGGAAGGUGGGGAUGACGUCAAAUCAGCACGGCCCUUACGUCCGGGGCUACACACGUGUUACAAUGGGGGGUACAGAAGGCAGCUAGCGGGUGACCGUAUGCUAAUCCCAAAAGCCUCUCUCAGUUCGGAUCGAAGUCUGCAACCCGACUUCGUGAAGCUGGAUUCGCUAGUAAUCGCGCAUCAGCCACGGCGCGGUGAAUACGUUCCCGGGCCUUGUACACACCGCCCGUCAAGCCAUGGGAGCCGGGGGUACCUGAAGUACGUAAAAGCAAGGAUCGUCCUAGGGUAAAACUGGUGACUG
rnacentral:rRNA from 1 species